rnacentral:rRNA from 1 species
AUUGAACGCUGGCGGCAUGCCUUACUCAUGCAAGUCGAACGGCAGCGCGGACUUCGGUCUGGCGGCGAGUGGCGAACGGGUGAGUAAUACAUCGGAACGUACCCUGUUGUGGGGGAUAACUAGUCGAAAGAUUAGCUAAUACCGCAUACGACCUGAGGGUGACAGGGGGGGACCGCAAGGCCUCACGCAGCAAGAGCGGCCGAUGUCUGAUUAGCUAGUUGGUGGGGUAAAGGCCCACCAAGGCGACGAUCAGUAGCUGGUCUGAGAGGACGAUCAGCCACACUGGGACUGAGACACGGCCCAGACUCCUACGGGAGGCAGCAGUGGGGAAUUUUGGACAAUGGGGGCAACCCUGAUCCAGCAAUGCCGCGUGUGUGAAGAAGGCCUUCGGGUUGUAAAGCACUUUUGUCCGGAAAGAAAUCGCGCUGGUUAAUACCUGGCGUGGAUGACGGUACCGGAAGAAUAAGCACCGGCUAACUACGUGCCAGCCGCCGCGGUAA